AAGCCUCCAUAAUUUUGUGAGAUGAUUCCUUAUGAUAGAUGAUAGAUAGAUAGAUAGACAGAUAGAUAGAACCAAUCAUUUUUGUUUUUGUUUCUCUGGAUAACCUGUCUAAUACAGGAACCUAGAACAAUCCUCCUUUCAUUGAGGACUCACUUUAAUCUACCCUCCUGCCUUGCUUUCUAAAGGGUUGGGAAGCUAUCAACAGUGGGAAAUAUAAAGAGGGAAUUUAAGAUGCACCAAUGGAAUAUUUGUAAAAAUAUUAUCCCUUGUACAUAGAUGAGUUCACUAUAAAUGACCGAUGUAAUCUCUACUGGAAAACAGUUUCUGCUUUAAAAUGCUUCAUAAUUAUCAAUAUUACUCAAUACUUCUGGAGACCAGCUCUUUCCUGCACUUAGCUUCUCUCUGUGUAGGACCAUACCAUCUGAAUCAAAGUUUGAAGUAUCUGGCAUGUCAAAGGAUUUUUUUUUUUUUUUUAAUGUGUGAAUGAAAGAAGAGCCCUGGAGCUUACCACAGAUCCCAAAACCAUAUGUAUGCCCAGGACCCUCAAAUAUUUCUGCAUGAGGGGUUCCUUGCACAGCCCUCUGGAUUGCUGGAAAUCGGCCAUCACUCUCAAAGCUUCCGAAGUCCCUGGACACCAUCAGAGUGCCCCUCCAAGCUGAGUGACACCUGCUCUCUGCCUGUCUGGAUGGGUAGAAGCCUGCUGUGAGAUCACUGGCACAGUGGAAGACCCCCCGGAGAACUCCCUUAACCAAAUGAUUUGAGCCCCAGAGUGACAGGCUGAAAUUCCUUUGGGUCCCCCAUUGACAAAAGAUUGGAGCUCUCUGAAAAUCUAACGGAAAUGUUGCAAGAUGGAGGUGAUCAAAUCCAGAACUUUUUGCCCAUCAUCUCUUUAAAAAAUAAU